GAUGAACGCUAGCUACAGGCUUAACACAUGCAAGUCGAGGGGCAUCAGGAAGAAAGCUUGCUUUCUUUGCUGGCGACCGGCGCACGGGUGAGUAACACGUAUCCAACCUGCCCUUUACUCGGGGAUAGCCUUUCGAAAGAAAGAUUAAUACCCGAUAGCAUAAUGAUUCCGCAUGGUUUCAUUAUUAAAGGAUUCCGGUAAAGGAUGGGGAUGCGUUCCAUUAGGUUGUUGGUGAGGUAACGGCCCACCAAGCCUUCGAUGGAUAGGGGUUCUGAGAGGAAGGUCCCCCACAUUGGAACUGAGACACGGUCCAAACUCCUACGGGAGGCAGCAGUGAGGAACAUUGGUCAAUGGGCGCUAGCCUGAACCAGCCAAGUAGCGUGAAGGAUGAAGGCUCUAUGGGUCGUAAACUUCUUUUAUAUAAGAAUAAAGUGCAGUAUGUA
rnacentral:rRNA from 1 species